CACUCUCUGUACCAAACCCAAAGAAUGGGGCCCACGAAUAUUCAUGGAAGGAUGAAGUAAACUGCACAGGGAAGCAGAGGCCAGUGAGGGAAAGAAGGGUAAGGAUUGAGUGCUGAGCCCUCACCAGCAGCUAUUCCUCUGGUCUUGUGUCCAGUGAUCAAUAUGGAAAAUGACUAUACCAGCAGGGUAGUGAUUAUUGCUGAAGGCAUAAGCAAAAGGUGAGGGUAAAAUUAUCUGCCAUUAUUAAUUCAGCAUAAGCCUAUAAAGUAUAUAUUUUAUAUCAUGCAUUCUGCUACAGAUGAGGGAUCUUUAAAAAUAAAAAUGAGUGGCACAUUGUUCCUGCGCCUUUUCUGAAGGAAUACCACUUGAAAGAAGAAGAUAUGCAAAAUGACAGGUAAUAUAACAUGAUAAGUGCUAAUCAGGGCAAGGAAGAAAGGCUACAGAGAACAGAGGAGAGAAUAAUUAUGUUCUCCUGCAAAGGAGACAUCUAUGAUGACCUUAGAAAUAGGAGAUAUUUCAGUUGAACUUUGAAGUUGAAAUGUGCCAAACAGCGAAGGAGUAUGUCAGAUAGCUGUGGAUCGGGUAAGACAAAGCAAAUUUUGGAAAUGGCAAAUUAUCUGAGUGCUUUGAAUAGAGAGAAUGUCCUAUAUAGUAAGAGGGGAUGAGACAGAGAAGAUGGUUGAGGCCAGAUCGGUAAAGUUAGUUGACAUAUGCACUAGAAGCCAUCAGAGGGAUUCUAAGGAAAAGAGCAUUGUGCCGCAUCUUACAAACUCAGCUCUGUGACUUGGGAAGAGUCCUUGAGUUCUAUCUCUAUCUAUUAGUUUCUUCAUUUGUAGGCGAUUAACAGUGCCUCUCUCUUGUGGUUGUUGUGAGGACUAAAUGAGUUAAUAUAUGCAAAGUACUUUAAAAAAGUGCCAGAUUCAUAUUAAGUGGUUUUUAAAAAUAUCUCUUAUUAUUGUCUUCAAGAGUGAACUUCUCAUUCAUGGCCCAUUGUUAAGGCAUAUUUGGAAGAGCUACCAUUUCUUUACUCCUAGGUCACCUAGAACAGUGCAUCAAUAUAGAACAUAUGCUCUGUCUCGAGUACUGUUUCUGUCAAGAUCCAGUGCCAAAGUAAGAGUUGUGUUGGCUGCACAUACAUCAGGGUGCCAGGAGCCCAGCAUGUGAGAUGACAAAUUCUGGGCAGAACCAGCUAUUAAUCACUCAUGCCAAACAAAAGAGAAGGCUGCCUACAAGUUCCCUUACUUCACUGUCUAAACCAACAUUAUUUUGUGCUGUGUUUGGCUUCUUUCAGGAUCUCCUUCUGGAAUACUUUUUGAAAGAAAUCUUGCUCAUCAGAGUCGUUGUAAAUGUGAAGAAGCUUCUCACUCUAAUGUUUUCCAUCACGUAACUGUCUCUGAACAUCCUGACCAAUGAAGUUCUAGGGAUUGUCAGCACAACAAAAUGAUUUCCUUUAUUAUGUAAAACCUGACCUUUAUUUCCCCCCAUAUUAUAUUGGUAUUUGAUGCAGUUUUCCAUUUUUCUUAGCACUAAUAUGAUGAAAAGAAACUAUUGGUGUCUGAUAUGUUAAAUGCCCAGAGGAAUUGACAGCCCAGAGGCUAACUUGGAAAUAGCUAGCUUUGUUUACCCACUGCACAUCUCUCAAUUGAGAAAUUGCUCAAUUAUUGUUCAUAUUGCUCAUCUGGGGUAUAGUCCAGAGAGCAGGCCCCUCAAAUGGUUAAGCCUCAAAAUAAUUCUGUGUUAGCCCAGUGCAUUUGCAUUGGCCACAUCAACAUUCCAUGGGACUCCCCUUCCUACUUUUCCUCUAGGCAAUCUGCUCAACUCAGCCAGACCGCAAUACCAAAGUGCCACCUACUUGUCUUGCAAAGCCCCUCAGUACCCCCUCAGUAUGGAUUUCAUUGAGCUUAAUUAAGUGGUUUGUUCUUUAGUUAAAACUAGUGGUAAAAUAAUAUCCUUGAUUGGAUUCUUUAAUUGUUAGUUCUAAUAUGUACUAGAUUUGAUGAACUUUUCAUGCAAGAGAAGCUUCAAAAUCAAGAGCAAAUGCAGGACAAAGUAAAGCUAUGUAGGUAUAAAUGACAUAUGUUGAUAUAAAGUACAUUUCUAAAUACAGCAGUCAACUAUUUUAUUUACGUGCUAUAUGUGAAAUGGAUUUGCAACAGGAUUAUUUUUCUCAUUCAUUCAGUCAUUUAUUAUUUACUGAAGACAGCCUCCUUAUCAAUGAAUUCUUUGCUUUCUCCUCUGCAAUCUCACAGCUCUCUGCAAAUCACUUACAAUAAUAUUUAUUUUUAAUAGAUAAUUUCUAAUAUCUUCCAUCUUGAAAUAAUACGCUGAGAAUUUUUUUGUGAUGCUAAGAUUUAUGUGUAAUUAUUUUUACUGCAGCAUUAUUUAUAGUAAAAAAAGGAGAAACAACCUAAAUACUCAGCGAGAGGAACUAUUAAAUAAAUAACAGCACAUGUGUACAAUAAAGUGCUGUAAAACCAUCUCAAUGCUCAUGUGAAAGUUUUAAAGAUGGCAAAAUAUUUGCUUUAUGAUGUUAGUAGAAAAAAAUGAUAUAUAAAACUUUGUCCUAGUCUUAAUAUGUUAUACUUCAAUAUUCAUGAAUAAAAUGAUUAUCAGUGGUGAUUUCUGAAUUAGAAAAUUAAGAAUAUUAUCUGUUACCUGCUUUAUAUAUGUGUGUACAAUAAGCAUAUAUAACUUUCACGUUUACAAAACAAAAGCACAGAUUUUUUUUU
rnacentral:lncRNA from 1 species